rnacentral:rRNA from 1 species
AAUACUUAGGAAUCUGCCCAUUAAUGGGGGACAACGUUUCGAAAGGAACGCUAAUACCGCAUACGUCCUACGGGAGAAAGUGGGGGAUCUUCGGACCUUGCGUUAAUGGAUGAGCCUAAGUCGGAUUAGCUAGUUGGUGGGGUAAAGGCCUACCAAGGCGACGAUCUGUAGCGGGUCUGAGAGGAUGAUCCGCCACACUGGGACUGAGACACGGCCCAGACUCCUACGGGAGGCAGCAGUGGGGAAUAUUGGACAAUGGGGGGAACCCUGAUCCAGCCAUGCCACGUGUGUGAAGAAGGCCUUUUGGUUGUAAAGCACUUUAAGCGAGGAGGAGGCUACUAGUAUUAAUACUACUGGAUAGUGGACGUUACUCGCAGAAUAAGCACCGGCUAACUCUGUGCCAGCAGCCGCGGUAAUACAGAGGGCGCGAGCGUUAAUCGGAUUUACUGGGCGUAAAGCGUGCGUAGGUGGCCAAUUAAGUCAAAUGUGAAAUCCCCGAGCUUAACUUGGGAAUUGCAUUCGAUACUGGUUGGCUAGAGUAUGGGAGAGGAUGGUAGAAUUCCAGGUGUAGCGGUGAAAUGCGUAGAGAUCUGGAGG